rnacentral:lncRNA from 1 species
GUUCUCAUGAUAGUGAAUGGGUCUCACAAGAUCUGAUGGAUUUAAAGACGGGAGUUUCUCUGCACAAGCUCUCUCUUUUUGCCUGCUGCCGUCCACAUAAGAUGUGACUUGCUCCUCCUUGACUUUUGCCUUCCACCAUGAUUGUGAGGCCUCCCCAGCCACAUGGAACUACAAUGAACUCCAUCCCUGGCCUUGAGGAAGUCCCAGACCACCGAUGAAAUGCAUGGACAGCAACAGAAGAAAGGACAAUCUGAUGAUUCGAGUCAUUUGGAUAAAUUAAAGGAGUACAAACGUUAUUAACCCACAAGAAGAACAUGAGAGGAGAGACAUGAGCAGAGAAAACAUUUCAAUAUCUUCUUGGAAGACAAAAAACAUGGACGAGAACCUGGAAGCAACUUGGAAAGAAGGAGAGAAGUGUGUGGGUUUUAGCAGGGGACUGGCUGGAAGUCUAUGCAGGGACAUAGAUGAUGCCAGAAGCCAUGACUUUCAGCAAACUAACACAGGAACAGAAAACCAAACACCGCAUGUUCUCAUUCAAUCCUCUGAUGCUUAACCAACUUGUGGAAGAAGGAAACUGCUUAGAUGUGUGUAAAAUUAACACCAAGCUCGGAGUGAAAUUCACCAUAAAUCUCAGCUCUAAAGUUAAAUGACACAUUUGAAUCCUGAAAUCAUCAAACAAGCAAAUAAUUUCAGCAGCUGCCUCACAAAAGACAUCUUCAGAGACUACAUUCAGCAAGUAGACAACUAAGAAUUAAUUUAGGAAAAGCACUCACUCUCUCUCUCUUUUGAAAAACUGAAAGGCAGUAUCAAUUGACCAUAAAGUUGAUCUCAAUAGACUGUAUCAGAUACACAGACAUUGAUUUAAAAAUGCAGGCACACACAAAAGUACUCCCUACACAAGCCUAUUCCUUUGGGCCUUUGUUAUUUUUAUUUUUUUUGAGAGGGACUCUUGCUCUGUUGCCCAGGCUGGAGUGCAGUGGCGUAGUCUUGUCUCACUGCAACCUCUGCCUCCCGGGUUCAAGCGAUUCUCUUGCCUCAGCCUCCUCAGUGGCUGGGAUUACAGGCACCCACCACCAUGCCUGGAAAAUUUUUGUAUUUUUAGUAGAGAUGGGGUUUCACCAUGUUGACCAGGCUGGUCUCAAACUCCUGACCUCAUGAUCCGCUCCUCUUGGCCUCCCAAAGUGCUGGGAUUACAGGUGUGAGCCACCGCGCCCGGAUGGCCAUUUUUAAAAAAACUUGAAAUCUGCCUUGAAGACCUGGUAUGAGUUGAACCUCCCCUCCCACCCCAAUUUAAUAUGUUACAGUCCUAACCCCCCCCGCCAGUAAUUCAGAAUGUGACCUUAUUUAGAGAUAACAUCUUUACAGAGGUAAUCAAGUUAAAAUGAAAUCAUUAGGAUAGGCCCUAAUUCAGUAUGACUGGUGUCCUUUUGGACACAGGAACACAUAUAGAAAGAAAAUGAGUUGAAGAGACAUAGAGGGAAGACAACCAUCUAUGAGCAAAGAAGACAGGCCUGGAACAGAUCCUUCUCUCAAAGUCCUCAGAAGAAACCAACUCUGCUGAUUCCUUGAUCUUGGACUUCAAAAUUCUAAGACAAUAAAUUACUGUUGUUUAAGCC